rnacentral:rRNA from 1 species
GACACCGGCAAACUGGUGAGUAACGCGUAUGUAAUCCACCUGUUGCUGGAGGAUAGGCAGAGGAAACUCUGAUUAAUACUCCAUAAUAUGUUUAUAUUGCAUGAUAUAAACAUUAAAGUAAUGUCGGCAAUAGAGGGGCGUGCGUCCGAUUUAUGCUAGUUGGUAGGAUAAUAGCUUACCAAGGCUACAAUUCGGUAGGGGCCCUGAGAGGGGAAACCCCCACACUGGUACUGAGAUACGGACCAGACUCCUACGGGAGGCAGCAGUGAGGAAUAUUGGUCAAUGGAGGAAACUCUGAACCAGCUACGCCGCGUGCAGGAAGAAGGCCUUAUAGGUCGUAAACUGCUUUUGUAGGGGAAUAAAGGAUUCUACAUUGAGAAUUUUGAAUGUACUCUACGAAUAAGUAUCGGCUAACUCUGUGCCAGCAGCCGCGGCAAAACAGAGGAUACAAGCGUUAUCCGGAUUUAUUGGGUUUAAAGGGUGCGUAGGCUGUUCAUUAAGUCAGUAGUGAAAUCUUGCAGCUUAACUGUUAAAAUUGCUAUUGAUACUGAUGGACUGGAAUUAUAUCGGAGUAGCUGGAAUAUGUGGUGUAGCGGUGAAAUGCAUAGAUAUCACAUAGAACACCAAUCGCGAAGGCAGGCUACUAGGUCUAUAUUGACGCUGAGUGCACGAAAGCGUGGGGAGCAAACAGGAUUAGAUACCCUGGUAGUCUACGCUGUAAACUAUGAUUACUAACUAUUGGAUCUUCAGUGUAUUCAGUGGUAAAGCGAAAGUGUUAAGUGAUCCACCUGGGAAGUACGAUCGCAAGAUUGAAACUCAAAGGAAUUGACGGGGGCUCGCACAAGCGGUGGAGUAUGUGGUUUAAUUCGAUGGUACGCGAGGAACCUUACCAAAGCUUAAAUGCGUUACGAAAUAAACUAGAAAUAGUUUGCUUCUUUAGGACGGAACGCAAGGUGUUGCAUGGUUGUCGUCAGCUCGUGCUGUGAAGUGUUAGGUUAAGUCCUUGAACGAGCGCAACCCCUGUCGUUAGUUACUAUCAGGUAAUGCUGGGAACUCUAACGAGACUGCCAGCGUAAGUUGAGAGGAAGGUGGGGAUCACGUCAAAUCAUUACGACUCUUAUGCCUUGGGCUACACACGUACUACAAUGGUCGGUACAAUGGGCUGCCACUGAGUGAUCAGGAGCUAAUCUCGAAAAGCCGAUCCCAGUUCGGAUUGGAGUCUGCAACUCGACUCUAUGAAGUUGGAAUCGCCAGUAAUCGUGUAUCAGCCAUGACGCGGUGAAUAUGUUCUCGGGCCUUGUACACACCGCCCGUCAAGCCAUGGAAAUCGGGGAUACUUAAAGUCGGUGUC